UACGAAGGGGGCUAGCGUUGCUCGGAAUCACUGGGCGUAAAGCGCACGUAGGCGGCUUCUUAAGUCAGGGGUGAAAUCCUGGAGCUCAACUCCAGAACUGCCUUUGAUACUGAGGAGCUUGAGUCCGGGAGAGGUGAGUGGAACUGCGAGUGUAGAGGUGAAAUUCGUAGAUAUUAGGAAGAACACCAGUGGCGAAGGCGGCUCACUGGCCCGGUACUGACGCUGAGGCGCGAAAGCGUGGGGAGCAAGCAGG
rnacentral:rRNA from 1 species